CCUACGGGUGGCUGCAGUCGAGGAUCUUCGGCAAUGGGCGCAAGCCUGACCGAGCGACGCCGCGUGUGCGAUGAAGGCCUUCGGGUUGUAAAGCACUGUCAGGGGGGAAAAAUCAUUGAUUGAUCCCCAGAGGAAGCACGGGCUAAGUUCGUGCCAGCAGCCGCGGUAAGACGAACCGUGCGAACGUUGUUCGGAAUCACUGGGCUUAAAGGGCGCGUAGGCGGUCUACCAAGUCGGGGUUGAAAUCUUUCGGCUCAACCGGAAAAGUGGCUUCGAUACUGGUAGGCUGGAGGGAGGUAGGGGCGGAUGGAACUUCCGGUGGAGCGGUGAAAUGUGUUGAUAUCGGAAGGAACGCCGGUGGCGAAAGCGAUCCGCUGGACCUCUUCUGACGCUGAGGCGCGAAAGCCAGGGGAGCAAACGGGAUUAGAUACCCCAGUAGU
rnacentral:rRNA from 1 species